rnacentral:rRNA from 1 species
GACGAACGCUGGCGGCGUGCUUAACACAUGCAAGUCGAACGGAAAGGCCCGGCUUUUGUUGGUUGCUCGAUUGGCGAACGGGUGAGUAACACGUGAGUAACCUGCCCUUGACUUUCUGAUAACUUCAGGAAACUGGGGCUAAUACCGGGUAGAAUCUCCUGCUGCAUGUUGGUGAUUGGAGAGUGUCGGCUGUGGUGGCUGGACUCGAGGCUUAUGAGCUGGUUGGGGUGGUAGUUGCUUACAAGGGCUUUGACGGGUAGCCGGCAUGAGAGGGUGAACGGCGACAUUGGGACUGCGAUACGGACCAGAAUCCUACGGGAGGCAGCAGUGGGGAAUCUUGCACAAUGGGCGGAAGCCUGAUGUAGCAACGCCGCGUGCGGGAUGCCGGCCUUCGGGUUGUAAACAGCUUUGGACUGUGACGAAGAGUGCGUGACGGUAAUGGGUCAAGAAGCCACGGCUAACUACGUG